rnacentral:rRNA from 1 species
UGCAGUCGAGCGGGCGUAGCAAUACGUCGGGGGCGGACGGGUGAAAUAAGCGUGGGAACGUACCUUUUGGUUCGGACAACACAGGGAAACUUGUGCUAAUACCGGAUAAGCCCUUACGGGGAAAGAUUUAUCGCCUAAAGAUCGGCCCGCGUCUGAUUAGCUAGUUGGUGAGGUAAUGGCUCACCAAGGCGACGAUCAGUAGCUGGUCUGAGAGGAUGAUCAGCCACAUUGGGACUGAGACACGGCCCAAACUCCUACGGGAGGCAGCAGUGGGGAAUAUUGGACAAUGGGGGCAACCCUGAUCCAGCCAUGCCGCGUGAGUGAUGAAGGCCCUAGGGUUGUAAAGCUCUUUUGUGCGGGAAGAUAAUGACGGUACCGCAAGAAUAAGCCCCGGCUAACUUCGUGCCAGCAGCCGCGGUAAUACGAAGGGGGCUAGCGUUGCUCGGAAUCACUGGGCGUAAAGGGUGCGUAGGCGGGUCUUUAAGUCAGGGGUGAAAAUCCUGGAGCUCAACUCCAGAACUGCCUUUGAUACUGAAAGAUCUUGAGUCCGGGAGAGGUGAGUGGAACUGCGAGUGUAGAGGUGAAAUUCGUAGAUAUUCGCAAGAACACCAGUGGCGAAGGCGGCUCACUGGCCCGGUACUGACGCUGAGGCACGAAAGCGUGGGGAGCAAACAGGAUUUAGAUACCCUGGUAGUCCACGCCGUAAACGAUGAAUGCCAGCCCGUUUAGUGGGUUUACUCACUAGUGGCGCAGCUAACGCUUUUAAGCAUUUCCGCCCGGGGGAAGUACGGUCGCAAAGAUUAAAAACUCAAAAGAAAUUGACGGGGGCCCCGCAACAAGCGGUGGGAGCAAUGUUGGUAUUAAUUCCGACGCCAACGGCGAGAAAUCCUUACCCGGGCCCUUUGACAUGUCCAGGACCGGUCGCAGAGAUGUGAACCUCUCUUCAUAGCCUGGACCACAGGUGCUGCAUGGCUGUCGUCAGCUCGUGUCGUGAGAUGUUGGGUUAAGUCCCGCAACGAGCGCAACCCCCGUCCUUAGUUGCUACCAUUUAGUUGAGCACUCUAAGGAGACUGCCGGUGAUAAGCCGCGAGGAAGGUGGGGAUGACGUCAAGUCCUCAUGGCCCUUACGGGCUGGGCUACACACGUGCUACAAUGGCGGUGACAAUGGGAUGCUAAGGGGCGACCCUUCGCAAAUC